AUAACUUCCCUUUCCAAAUAUCAUGUCAAUCAUAUCAACCAGAAGUUGAAUGGAUCAACUAAUGAAAAGAUAAUGUUACAUUGUUAUUCACCUUGCUAGUGUUACGAUGUCAAUCAAAUAUAGUUUUCCACCUGGUGACGUUACCCUGAGUUUUAUUUUACACGGCUGAUAGCCCAUUCAAUCAUUUGCUCCUCCCCUGUUGCUCUAAUAUUAAAGCUUCUCCUAUACUCGUUAUCCUCAGUUUUUUUUACACGACUUGACUUAAAAAUAUUGAUAUGAUCUAUAGCACAAUGCGAACAAAUAUAGUGUGUUGUAUAUGAAUAUUUCAAUCAAAGGAUAGUCGAGGUCGUCUGCUCCAUGGAGAAUGAUGGUCAGACUUCCAUUCCUGAUGAUCCCCUUCUUCACCAUUGCCACGAACAUCCCAUAGUCAAUUUGAACAUCCUAAUCAAAUGUAGACAUGAUCAAUUUGCAUUUCAGAUUUGUAGUAAUUAGCGUAAUAGUAUAGACUAAUCAACAGAGUUAAUUGAAACUAAUUAAUUAAUUUGAGAUGGUGACUGCACUGAAUAAACAUACGCAUGUUCUCAUUGCCGACCUCCCUGAUGAUGUUGCGAUACGACGUCAGCUUGUAUGUUGUACUCCCAGCACACCUCUUCCAGCAGGUCAACAGUGAUACGCCCAGAUCAAGCAAGAAUAAUGACACCCCAGCUAUUUCCAUCGCCAACUCCUUAAAGAACGUGACGAAUAACUAAUCAAUCAUCAAUAAAAUUGGAAAAUAAAACAGGAACUUCUUACCCACCAAUAUUGAUCUGAUUUCUCAUAAUACAAGAGUUCACAGAAACUGAAGAAAUUUCUAGGGGUAGCUCGACAUGACUUUUCUAGCUAGCAAUGCACUCGGCUUCAAGUGAAAAUUCACCGCACACUUUGGACAAGUAGUGAUCAAAAGCAUCUUAAUUUGCUUACAGAGGG
rnacentral:lncRNA from 1 species